rnacentral:rRNA from 1 species
AUUGAACGCUGGCGGCAGGCCUAACACAUGCAAGUCGAACGAGUGGCGGACGGGUGAGUAAUGUCUGGGAAACUGCCUGAUGGAGGGGGACAACUAAUGGAAACGAUAGCUAAUACCGUAUACCAUCAGAUGUGCCCAGAUGGGAUUAGCUAGUUGGUGGGGUAAAGGCCUACCAAGGCGCCGAUCCGUAACUGGUGUGAGAGGAUGCACCGUCACACUGGAACUUAGACAAGGUCCAGACUCCUAAGGGAGGCAACAUUGGGGAAUAUUGGACAAUGGGCGAAAGCCUGAACCAGCCAUGCCGCGUGUGUGAAGAAGGUCUUCGGAUUGUAAAGCACUUUAAGUUGGGAAGCGUUACCAACAGAAUAAACACCGGCUAACUUCGUGCCAACAGCCGCGGUAAUAC